GCCACCUGCAAGGGAACGUGACACACUGCUGACAACACUUCCAAACAGCUGGGGACAUAGUUUAGCAAGAAUCAACAGACAAAGCAACCCUGAGCACCCAGUGGGAGAGCAACGCAUCUCUGGGCUAUCUCACUACAAUCCCAGAUCCCGAACAGCAAAGCUUGCUGACCAAAACCAACAGAAGCAGCUCUCCGCAUCUCCCACACCCCCACCCUGCUCUGCUCAUCAUAAAUUCAAGGCUGAACUUUUUACUGUAACACAGAAGUCAGAGGUUAAAAAAAAAUUAAAGGAUUCUCCAAUGACUCACAUUAUGUUAAACAGUGGAGACAGCUGACAUCUCAUCAUCACGACUCUUGUCAUGCCUUCAGCUCCUGGAAUAUGCUGCUGCCUUCUCAGAGUAGGUGGAAAAAGCAGGGACACUGCUCUAGCAAUGUCUUCUGAGAAAAUACCCUGGAUAAAGUAUGACCUAAUUGUGCCCCAAUACAGAACACAAGCACAGAACCAGGCCCAACAGCUGCUACAAAACUCUCCCUGCUGUCCCCCCACUUUUCACCUGAUGCAACAUGAAGAACACUCAUCUGCUCUGUACUCACCUUUCUGGAAACCAGCUGAACUGCAUCCUCUUCAAAUGCCUUCACACCCUUCAGUCUGGAUGAAACGAUUUGCUGUAACUGUUUGUAGGUGUAGGGCUGAAAGGACAUUCUGGUGAGGCCCUACAACAAAUGACACAACACAGUGAGAAGGGUUUGUGGGGCUGGAAAACUCUCAACUGCUGAAGCAUGGCCUGUGUGGUUACUUUUACUUUUUCUGGUAGGAGCAAUUAGUUUUUCACAUCCUUUCCCUCCGAGUGACACGCUUUAAUCAAUCACAUUUGUGAAACAAAUGUACAAACCCACAAAACUGUGACUCAGUGAGGACCACUGGUUGGAUUCCCCACUGAAAGGCCUGAGGAGCAAGUGAAAUUGAAACUGUUAUCAGAAUUCAGAGUUCUCUUAUAAAAACUUUUAAACAAAUGAGAGCUCCCCAAUACAAAAAUAUCUGGAUUACAUCUAUCUACAUGUUAUUUUUUUAAUACAAUAAGAGCAGCACCUGUGGAAAAAUAUUAAUGUCUCCUUUAGCUAAUCUGUAUAUGUGUGUGUUGACUUCAAGUUAGCCAUCAGCCAAGGAUUAAAACCCUCUUCUGGCUCAAGCCAAUAAGAACAGCCCUCAGAUGAGGACAAUCUAUGUUACAGAUGGUGCACUGCCUUUCAUCCUACAGGAGACCUGAGUUUUGAAUUUCUUAUGCAAAACUUCUCUUGUGACUGUAUGGACUCAGCUGAUCUGCAGUGGGCUUAGUGGGUGGGGGAAAGCAAUUCACACCCUGUGGAGCUGUUUUUGAGUCAUGGAAGGAUAGAGGCACAGAGCACUGUUUUUGCAAACCACUUUUCAGAGCCGUGGUGAGAUGACCUAGGAAAAUAUAUUCAAAACAAGUGGAGAGUGCAUCCAAUUUUCUUUGCUGGAUACCUUUGUAUAAUCUACCAACUGAUGAUGGCAAACAGAGAAGUAAGUAGGUGCCUGGAAUGAAAGGGGAAAGAGGAAGGGAAACCAGAAGAGAAUUCUUCUGAACUCCAGAAUAAGCAGCUUAACCAUGAAGCACAGCAUUUGAUUACCCAGAUCUUAGAAUAUUUUAAAAGGCAUCCAUAUAUUUAUUUAAUUCUUACAAGAACAUAGUGUACGUACACAGCAUAAUACCUGAUUAGCAAACAGGCUCCUGAACUUAGAUUUAUAUGCUCAUUAUCAGUCCUCUGGAAAGGGAAUUAUAAAAAACAUUGUUCAGCUUCUGAUAUAACCUAUCCUACUUUUCUCCUGGAUUGCUUUUGACUGCAUCCAGUAUUGAAUCUGUUCUCCUUUUAUGGCAUAGCAACAGAACUGCUAGAACAUACCAGCCUGCUUGCUACUCUGUUCAUCAUGAUUCUCUCUGGCAGGUCCAUGGUGUUGGCAAUGGCCAGGAUGAUGAGCUUGGAGUGCUUUUGGGUUGGCCAGUCAAAUAAAUUGUACAUCACGUUCUGCUUCCGGGUCCACAGCAGAUCAAGCUGCAGAGAUAAAAAGAUAAGAAUCAGACUGGAAAAAGGAAUGGCCUCUUAUUUAUAAUACCUGAUGGGAGUUUGAGAACCAGCUCUGCCACAGAAGAUUUCUCACAUGAUUCUGAAUAAGCUGUCCCUGUUGCCUUUCCUUUAUCCAUCUAAUAAUAGGACUGCAUUUGCUGAAUUAGGGCUCUAGUCUCUUUUGGAAAAGCACAGCCCUACUGGAUGCUUGAACAGUAAAUGUUAAACAGCUGGAGUUUUAAAACACUACUGUGAUACUAACAGUACGUCUAAUAAGAUUCAAAGACCCUCCAAGUGAGAACUUGAAUCAGCUUACAGCAAAAAUAAGAGUGCAUAUGAUUAUUACUGAACAUAGCACAUUAAAGGUUUUUCAAAAUUAGGUGUGACUUAUUUCUCUGUGAGUUUUCCCACUGGAAAAGCAGCAGCUUCCAGACAAAAUACAAUUGAAUCCCCUGGUAUUUAGAAUUGACAAACAACUUAUUGUGGAAUAACAAAAUAUACAACCAGUAUGAAACCCAAGGCAGAGAACAUGGCAACAGGAUACUCAGCCUUUUUAGGAAACUGAAUUUAAAUAGGUAAGAGGAACUAUUUGUGUCUCCUCUCUAAGUCUAUUCCUGUUACAUCACAUGUGAUACACUCAAAGCAUGCAUAAUUUUCCAUCCACCAAAAACUUACAAUCCUUUGAGGAAAGUAAACAAAGGAUUCUUUGUCUCACCUCAUCCACUACCAGCACUGUGGUCUUCCUCUUUGGUCCAGGUGUACUGAACAGCUUUGCCAGCAGUACUGCAGCAUGGUUUGCUGUCACCUUCUGACCUGUCAAGAACUGCACAAGGAUUGAAUAAACAUUGCAGGUUCAUCACACCAAACCCCUGGAAUUACCAAGUUUGACACCAUUCAAUUUUGUCUUUCCUUAAUAACCAACACCAACCACCUGGUGGUUAUUUUUUCCAAGGGGGAGUAAAAAAGAGGAGAAAGUAGCUCAUAAGACAUUCUGGUCUACCAAGAACUGCCCAUAAAGGAGAAGAGAAACAAACUAAAAAGAAAGGCCCACAGAAUUCUCUGCAAUAUCUCUUAGAAUCACAAAGAAAUCCUGAACCCACCCAGUCUAGAGGGCUCUAAACCCAGCAUAUCUCUAGGGUAUCUCUGAAUACACACACCUACUGAAAACCUAAGUCAGCUGAGAAGAAUAGCCUGACUUGAGUAAUCUUGGACUGCUAUUAAAAUUCUAAUGAAUCAUCAGCAGGAUCUAUAAUUAAAUUUAUUCAACUGUGAACUAAAAAAAUAUCUGCAAUACCUUUUGCAACUAUGUGGCAGAACAGAUCAGCUGACUGUAUAUUACCUCUUCCCUUGCAAGUCCAAAGAUACCCAGUAAUCAAAGCAUGACAUUUCAAAAUUACACUGCAGAUGCUGAAUCAAUUGUUCAUCAUAGUGCAAAGUCCAGCAAUAAAGCCAAAUGGAAACUGCAUUUGAAAACUGUACUUAUUUUCUAAAAUAUCUUGUAAAUCUAAGAUUUGAUAAUUGCUAAACAAGCCAGAGCACAAGAUUAAUGUAUAACCUGUUUAAUGUUUCCACUUCAGUCAGGACAGUGCAAAUCAGUCACAGAAAGGAGUUGAAUCCCAGAGAACCCUGAUCCUGCAGCUCUGGAGCUGAGUAUCCAACAUACCACAGAGCUGAGCUGCUGUGGUGGAAAUGAACUCUUACUCCACCCAGGUAUUUAGCCUUAUCUCUUUCAUCUGUCCAGGGCUUCCAGUGCCUUCACUUUCCUACAGCACUGAGGUAACUGCAGAAGGGAAGCUCCAGAAUUUGCUUCAGUCAUGCAAAGAAAGAAACAUCAGCAAACUGGAUCUCAACGUGCAGCAAUCAGGAGAGCAGCAGCAGCCUAGCUCUUAUGAAGGGUUCUUUGACAGUAGCUGAAGCAGAAGGAAUUGGAGAAGCACAUAGUUCAUGUGACUUUGUACUCCCCUAAAGGAUAUUUCACUAGGCUGCCUUAGAGUUCAGGACUAGUAGGGGGCAACAGAUUGUACUUCCAAAGGCCUAUUCUUUAUUCAUUUUUAGAUUUUAUGCUGAAUGGGACAAGAACAAAGGAUGUUAAAAUACAUUCACACUACCAUGAAAUAAGGUAAUUGUCAGGAAGCCUCUCACUAUACUAAAGAAACACAGAGGCCUGGCCUCAGCAAAUCCCUCAGCAAGACUCUGUCUAAGCUGGUUUGAGGAAAGGAUGCAAAUAUGCAAAUUUAACUCCCAGCUAUGAGGACUGGGACACUAGAGCACUAAUGUAUGCCACUCCCUGCUCAGAAAGAUGAUGUCAAACUUAAAUAAAUGGAGCAGAAGUUUAUACAAAAAUGGAACAGAUGCUUCAGGAAACCAUUUAGUUUCCAGGUCACUGGUUUAAAGUUAGCCUAGACUGAGAAAGCUUUUGAGCAGUUACUGUCUAAUUCCUAUUGGGUGAUCUUAAUCCAGUCCUCAGAAGAUUAAUUCCCACCCAUACAACACAAGCACAGUCAGUAGUCCCAGAUGGAUACUGCAGACUGGUUUGUCAUGGAUAUCAGAAAUACACUUUGUUGACAGUGAUGGCCUCUCUUUAGCUGAAUUACUAUUAUGACUGACCAAUUAAUCACAAAGACCCCCUCAGUAAUUAUUCUACUGUUACACUGACUUUCAGAGUGGUCAUCUUUGUAGCUGUUAAAGCAGAUGUGCAGGAAAAGUUACACUACAGGAAAAUAUAAAAAGCUGGUUUAGAUUUUUUUUAGAAGAGUAGAUGCAAUAAACCAAGCUAUUUCUCAGCAGCUACCCUUAUGCAGCAGAAAGCAAAACAAUGCAAGGUGUUGGCUAAGGCCUUAAGUUAAUUAUUUUCUAACCAGCUCUAAGAUAAAAGCACCCAGUCUCUUGGAGGGACUGGGAAGUACUGAUAAGUGCUUUGGACACUGUAACAUAUUAAGGAUGUGAUGGGAAAGUGUAACAUCUUUUCUUUCAAAGC